rnacentral:tRNA from 1 species
CAGGGAAUAUAUCAAUUGGGAGAUUAUCUGCUUUGGGAGUAGAAGGGUGCGGGUUCAAAUCCCGUUUCCUUGA